UAGGCAUUAUGUAUGAAGUGCUAUACAAUGACAAGAGGGGAAAACAACCUCAGGUCCUCUUCUGCUUUCUAAUAUUUAACAACAGACAGAAAAGACUUGGCCGACGAGUGAACGUCAAGGUGCGGAACAGGGUGUGUGUCUCACUGGCAUACACACCAUGUCAAACUGAAUUAAAGACGUCUUACUUAACACACAGGCCAUUCGAUCCGAGGGCUGACAAUGAUGCCAUCAAAUCCACAGUAUGUGGCACCACUAUACCAAACCUCAAGACUUUUCUUGUUGUAGGUGUUGUUAUUGUUGCCUCUCUGGUUGUCAUCUUAUUGUUUGGGUGAUAUGAGGAAAUCUAAAGAAAGAUGAGGAUGAGGAAAACGUCUCCGCAAUAUACACAAAAUGUCUGUGAUUGGUUCCAUCUCUGUAUCUGUCACCAUAUUCCUACAGCAAAAUCAAAACAUUUUGCUGGUUGAAUUCAAAAACAUGGUGCUGAGUGCAGCAAAAUAAAUUGCCAUC
ensembl:lncRNA